UUAAGACCCUGGAGGCAAAUGAG
rnacentral:piRNA from 1 species